UGAGUACGAGAUGCUACGGCAUCGAAGCAGUCUAUGUCAUACUUCCAAGAAAAGCUUGCAAUGUCAUAAACAAAUAAUGCCUGUACCAUAACCGACACAGGUGGGUAGGUAGAGUAUACUAAGGGGCGCGAGAUAACUCUCUCUAAGGAACUCGGCAAAAUGACUCCGUAACUUCGGGAGAAGGAGUGCCUUAUUUUUAUAAGGUUGCAAUAACAAGAUCCAAGCAACUGUUUACCAAAAACACAGGUCUCCGCUAAGUCGUAAGACGAUGUAUGGGGGCUGACGCCUGCCCAGUGCCAGAAGGUUAAAGAAGUUGGUUAGCAUUAGCGAAGCUGAUAACUGAAGCCCUGGUGAACGGCGGCCGUAACAAUAACGGUCCUAAGGUAGCGAAAUUCCUUGUCGGGUAAGUUCCGACCCGCACGAAAGGCGUAAUGAUUUGGAUACUGUCUCGGAGAGGGGCUCGGUGAAAUAGACUUGUCUGUGAAGGUGCGGACUACCUGCACCUGGACAGAAAGACCCUAUGAAGCUUUACUGUAACUUGAGAUUGAAAUUGGACUUUAUCUGCGCAGUAUAGGUGGGAGACGUUGAAAAUAUUCUUGCGGGAAUAUUGGAGUCAUCAGUGAGAUACCACUCUUAUAAUGUUAGAUUUCUAACUUUGUAUCAUUAUCUGGUCAAAGAACAGUUUCAGGCGGGCAGUUUGACUGGGGCGGUCGCCUCCCAAACGGUAACGGAGGCGCACAAAGGUUUCCUCUGAACGUGUAGAAAUCGUAUCUAGAGUGUAAAGGCAUAAGGAAGCUUGACUGUGAGACCUACAAGUCGAGCAGGGACGAAAGUCGGUCUUAGUGAUCUGACGGUGCUGAGUGGAAGGGCCGUCACUCAGCGGAUAAAAGUUACUCUAAGGAUGACAGGCUGAUCUCCCCCAAGAGUUCACAUCGACGGGGAGGUUUGGCACCUCGAUGUCGGCUCAUCGCAUCCUGGGGCGGUAGUACGUCCCAAGGGUUGGGCUGUACGCCCAUGAAAGCGGUACGCGAGCUGGGUUCAGAACGUCGUGAGACAGUUCGGUCAUAUCCGGUGUAGGCGUUAGAAUAUUGAGAGGAGCCUUCUUUAGUACGAGAGGACCGAGAAGGACAUACCUCUGGUGUACCAGUUAUCGUGCCAACGGUAAACGCUGGGUAGCCAUGUAUGGAGAGGAUAACCGCUGAAAGCAUCUAAGUGGGAAGCCCACCUCAAGAUAAG
rnacentral:rRNA from 1 species